ACAGCGGCCUCUAGUGGUCCCUGGGAGACGCGCAGGAGGAGGCUGACUUGGGGUAGCCAGUCAAUAGCAGCCAGCCUGAUGCUUUAUAUUGUAUGCUGCCCUUCCUGGCUGAUGCUUAAGACUUCUAAGGAUGAAGACAGGAGCAGAAUUGGUGGAAGGUGGCAUCAAAAGACAGAACAUGCCAUUAAAACUAGCCAUCUCCUUUGAUCAAAUCUCCAUCCUACCCCUCUAAGAAUGCGGAAACAUAAGAAACACACCUUGCCAGAGUUGCUUUUAAAAUUCACUUUAAUAUGAAGGAAAAUUCUCAGAUAUCCCGUCGUCUUACCGACUUUCCUCCUCCAGAAGUAAACAUGCCUUGGUUCUCAAAGCCCUCUCUUGACUCUUUCUUACUUUUUUUUCCCCCUAAAAAGAAUUGCUUUAGUUUUUAAAUGAAAUGUGAACCUUUUUUCCAAAAUGGAGCUGUCGAGCUUUACCCAAAGUUUAAAAUUCAGCUUUGCUUUCAUCAA